ensembl:lncRNA
AUCCCUGUAUUAAUUCCUCACUGGUAGCUCUCUCUGUAUGUAUGGAUGUAAGGUUAAUCACAGUUGGCUGUUUUGUUCCUUGAAAGUCAACAUCUUAAUAUGAAAAACAAACGCUCUGCUUUUUAUUUUGAAACUGUCAGAAUGGGAAAUACAAUUCUAACAGAACUGGGAAAAAGCUUAGGAAAAACACCUUGUGUGAUGUAUGCGGAGAGAGUGCCAAGGAUGCACCAGGAAUUUCAAUUUCUUAAUGUUACCUCUUCUGUUUUCAAUCAUCUGAAGUAGUUGUUUGGCAAUGCUUGCCUCUCUGCUACUCUGAAAUGUCCCCGCAUGUCCUGGGCUGUAAUAGGAAUCAGUGGAGCAGAGUGCCUGUCUUGGGACAAAAGGUAAGUUGAGUCUUACUCAGUUCCGUAUGAAUAUUCGUAUAUAAAUUGCAAGUGUGCAUUUUUUUUUAAUUUACCAGUUCAAGUACAGUAUCUCAAGGUCUUCUCAAAUGAUUGAAAGAGGGUAGAGGGUAGGGUUGACUUUAGUCAGAAAGGAAAACCUUCCAUUAAGAGGAGGAGUUAAUUUUUACGUGGUUGCAGUAGAGGGUGAAAUAAGAGUGGUUUAAAAGCAAACUCACUACGAGAGUGGCUGUUCGCCCCCUUAAACAGGCUGCUUGGUCUGCUUAUUAAUAUAAAUGCCAUCGUCACUGCCUGCUUAUGGUGUGUACUUGGUCCUCUGUUUGACUGAAACUUGGAGUACUGGAGGUUUAAUGAAGAAGAAGAGAUGGAGAGACACCGAGACCUGGCAAAUUAGCAUUUACAGAGUACAAAUUAAGCUCGAUGCUUUUAUUCAUUAAAAAGAGUAGAUGCUGUUCAGAAAUACCACAUCUUUUUUCUUCUCCUAUGGCGUUGCUAUUCAGAACCAAAAGCAAGUGGUGCUCUGUGUAGUUAGCCACUAAAGCUAUUCAAAUGGUAGAAAACAAAGUUCCAAUAAAGUCCUUGUGCUAUGGGAGUGUCAGUAUUUGAAAGGUAAAUUACAGUAAGUGCUCACUUGAGAUAGCUGGGAGAAACUGACAGCCCAGAGCUCGAAAACAUCACAGUCUGAGCACAGCCUCCACCAUAAGAAGUUUCAGCCCUUAACCACAGAGGAACACAGAGACGGAGCGCUGCGCAGGGGGUAAUGCAGCUUCUGAAGCCAUUGACUUAAGGGUCAGGAAGUUGAGAGCGUCUUAUAUGCAAUCAUUCAGGAAGUUGGAGUGCAUACAGAAAGCAGCAGAUUGUUAAAAUCUUCAUAAACUGUGUUUUCCCUCAACUGAUAAGUAUGAAAUAGUAUAACCUCAGAGUUACCUGUGUACUUCUCAACACCUGGGAUGUGGAAAUACAAUAGGUAACGUGCCUACAGCAUGGUCAUUUUUCUUUAAAUAUAUGCCGAAAAUGGAUGAUGAUUUUUUUUUUAUUAAAUCUGAGAAUCACACCAGCAAAUUUGUUAAAGAUGCAGAAUUGUGUUUAGCAUCCUUCGUCGGGUCCCUUUCACCAGUAUGCACUUAGAAGUAUCAGCGGGGCGCGGGGAGGUAGCUGGGGGGAGCGUUCUUUUGGGGACGGCAGAGUUCGGCUCUGAAUGGAAAUGAACUAUUCUUCACUUGCAAUAUGGCAACAACGCACUUUUAAGGCUACAGUGUUUAGCUCUGAAUUCACAUGUCCAAAGACCUUGCUUAAAAGAGGUGCUGUAUCUGAGAAGCAUGUUGCCACGCACACUGCCACGGUGAACGGCUAUGGAGAAAACCUGUUGUAGACGAGGGGGGGGGGGGAAUCGUUCUUAAUGGGUUUAAUUAAGGAAUACUGUUAAAACUUUCUCUGUCCCAACAACGUGAUGAGGAUCUCGGUUUCAAUUCUGAAGUCUUCCAUUCUCCUCUUUCCACAGUUGGUGUUCCUAGCUCCUAUUUUUGUUCAUCUUUCAUUCGUUUGUUAAGGCUGUAAUGCAAUUGCGUUUCCAAAAGGAAAUGCGACUGUCCUGUUUUCACCUUUAUAAACUUAAUCCAGGCGUAUCGAAUGUUCACACGUUGCAUUGAUCUGCAUUGGGAUGCCAUUGUCCUGUAAAGUGCGCAUUUUAAACACACAAUUGGCAAAAAGAUUUGAUAGUUUUACAGAAAGAUUUGCUAUCUUAAACUCAAACUGUUUUCUAUUUUCAUCAGAAUGACUGGGAUGCUAUCUUUGUAAUUCUUUGAGGUCAGAUUUGUGAAAUAAACAACACACGAAAGCUUUCCUGUCAUAUACACUAUAUGUAGUCUGGAGUGUUGAGCAAACUUGAGUUCCUGAGUUGUAAUAUCUAUCUGCGUAUGGUAUUUACACUUUUGAAUGUGUGCCACUGCCGAGGUGAUGACGCUGUACAGUUGGGAAUGGUGGUAGUUUCUGUAUGGCAGUCCAGCUGAACUAUUUUGAUGUACUGCUUAAUUUUUGAAUUUUAUUUUUUAAGUUGUAUAAUUUAUUUUCUUGCAAAAUAAAAAUGUAAUAU